CUCCUGACCUCAGGUGAUCCACCUAAUCUUGGCCUUCCGAAGUGCCGGGAUUACAGGCGUGAGCCAUCGCUCCGGGCCCCAGGUUUGGAUUCUUUACCACACAGCAGGCAUGGGCCGACUCACUGUCUGGGGCCCGCCUAGCCCAGCCCAGCACCUGUCUUUGUGAAGUCUUGGUGCGCAGCCAUACCCAUUCACUUACGUCAUCUGUGGCUGACUGUUGCCACCGUAACUACGACAGAGAGCCUGAGAAGCUGGAAGCAUUUCCUGUCUGGCCCUGUAGGGGAAGCUUGCAGCCUGGCUUAGGAGUACGCUGCCCAGGGAGGAUGUGUAAUGUGAACCGCAGACGCCAUCUUACGUGUUCUAGUCGCCACGUUAAAAAAGGUGAAUGCACAAAAACUUGUGGUACAGCCGUACAUUGGAAACCUACACAGCAACAAAGAGAUGGAAUGACUGAUACAGCAACAUGGCUGAAUUGCAGAAACACUGCGCUGAGUGAAAGGAACGAGACACAAAAUAAGACAUUACUGUAUGAUCCUGUUUAUAUGAACUCUAGGAGACAAAGUCUCCAGUGGUAGAAAGCAGAUAAGUGGUUGCCUGGGGCUGGAGAUGUGGUUUAGGAUGACUGGGAAAGAGCACAAGGAAACUUUUAGUGAUGCAGAUAUUCUUGAUCAUCGUAGUAAUAACUUGGCUGUACACAUUUGUCAAUGCUCAUUAAACUGUACACUUAAAAUGUG